ACACCCAGGAGGGUGACGGGCAUGGGAGGCUGUGCCCACCCCUGCUUCCUUUUUGUCAUUGUCAGGCAGCACCCAGGGCAAUGCCACCUUCACUACAUUGGGUUCAGCUUGGAGUCUGCAGGCUUUUAGGAUCCUGAGCCUAGCAGAGCCCCAGCCAUGCUGGAUACUGUGGUAGAAAAUGUCAGAGACUUUAAGUGGUGUCCAUGGCCAUAUAGAAAAACUUUGGGACUUUGUGAGUUUGGAGAAAAUCUUCAUGACUGUUGAGAGAUGAGUGUUCUUCUGGUCGCCGUGACUCCAACAAACCACAUGCUGACGACUCGAUCUCAUUUGGGUUUAUGAAACACCAGGUUUGUGGGAUGGGCUCGGCUCACGGUUGUGUGUUUCUUAGAGAAGCCCUGUGGGAGGCAUGGCUCUUCCCUCACAGGCCUGAGCUGCAGGUACUUCCUGCUCAUGGAUCCUGCUGUGAACCUCAGAUGGUGCAUUUCAGUCCCCCGUAACACACAGGGCUUCUAACUAAGUUGUGUGGAUCGUGACUUGCUUCUUAAAUGCAAAGCCUCUUCCAUCUGCAUGGGGG
rnacentral:lncRNA from 1 species